rnacentral:rRNA from 1 species
GAUGAACGCUGGCGGCGUGCCUAAUACAUGCAAGUCGAGCGAACAGACGAGGAGCUUGCUCCUCUGACGUUAGCGGCGGACGGGUGAGUAACACGUGGAUAACCUACCUAUAAGGCUGGGAUAACUUCGGGAAACCGGAGCUAAUACCGGAUAAUAUAUUGAACCGCAUGGUUCAAUAGUGAAAGACGGUUUUGCUGUCACUUAUAGAUGGAUCCGCGCCGCAUUAGCUAGUUGGUAAGGUAACGGCUUACCAAGGCAACGAUGCGUAGCCGACCUGAGAGGGUGAUCGGCCACACUGGAACUGAGACACGGUCCAGACUCCUACGGGAGGCAGCAGUAGGGAAUCUUCCGCAAUGGGCGAAAGCCUGACGGAGCAACGCCGCGUGAGUGAUGAAGGUCUUCGGAUCGUAAAACUCUGUUAUUAGGGAAGAACAAAUGUGUAAGUAACUAUGCACGCCUUGACGGUACCUAAUCAGAAAGCCACGGCUAACUACGUG